UACGAAGGGGGCUAGCGUUGCUCGGAAUCACUGGGCGUAAAGCGCACGUAGGCGGAUUGCUAAGUCAGGGGUGAAAUCCUGGAGCUCAACUCCAGAACUGCCUUUGAUACUGGUGAUCUUGAGUCCGGGGAGAGGUGAGUGGAACUGCGAGUGUAGAGGUGAAAUUCGUAGAUAUUCGCAAGAACACCAGUGGCGAAGGCGGCUCACUGGCCCGGUACUGACGCUGAGGUGGCGAAAGCGUGGGGAGCAAACAGG
rnacentral:rRNA from 1 species